rnacentral:rRNA from 1 species
UACGUAGGGGGCCAGCGUUGUUCGGAAUUACUGGGUGUAAAGGGUUCGUAGGCGGUGCGGCAAGUUGGGGAGUGAAAUCUCUGGGCUCAACCCAGAGACGGCUUCCAAAACUGCUGUGCUUGAGUGUGAGAGAGGCUCGUGGAAUUGCAGGUGUAGCGGUGAAAUGCGUAGAUAUCGCAGGAACACCCGUGGCGAAAGCGGCGAGCUGGAUCACUACUGACGCUGAAGAACGAAAGCUAGGGGAGCAAACAGG